rnacentral:rRNA from 1 species
GAUGAACGCUGGCGGCGUGCCUAAUACAUGCAAGUAGAACGCUGAAGGAGGAGCUUGCUCUUCUGGAUGAGUUGCGAACGGGUGAGUAACGCGUAGGUAACCUGCCUGGUAGCGGGGGAUAACUAUUGGAAACGAUAGCUAAUACCGCAUGACAACAGUUAUUGCAUGAUAACUGUUUAAAAGAGCCAACUGCUCCACUACCAGAUGGACCUGCGUUGUAUUAGCUAGUUGGUGAGGUAACGGCUCACCAAGGCGACGAUACAUAGCCGAACUGAGAGGGUGAUCGGCCACACUGGGACUGGGACAAGGCCCAGCAUCCUACGGGAGGCAGCAGUAGGGAAUCUUCGGCAAUGGACGGAAGUCUGACCGAGCAACGCCGCGUGAGUGAAGAAGGUUUUCGGAUCGUAAAGCUCUGUUGUAAGAGAAGAACGAGUGUGAGAGUGGAAAGUUCACACUGUGACGGUAUCUUACCAGAAAGGGACGGCUAACUACGUG